GGCGGCGCGGCUGCCAGCGGCCACGUCCUCUACUGCUCCGCGGAGGAGCCACAGAGGGGCCGUGGUGGGCUGACCAUCAGAAGCCGACAUCAGGACAGGCAACGUGCUCUCUGGUCCAGCUGUCGGCGGAGCAAAAUUUUCUCCUCAUCACUGGGUUCGCUCUUUUUGAAAUUCAUAAACUUUAAAAAAAUGUUGAGUGUGUCUCUGAAGUUCUGAUCUUUUGCUUGAAAAACAUCAAUGAUUCUCGCCAUACUCCUUAGCGUUUUUAAAAUGUUAGUAUUUCAUGGAAGCAGAGAAAAUCACACUCCCGGACUGCCGUGUUGUCUGCUGCUCUUUGUUUUUACAGCACCUCACCUUUUAAUUGGCUUUUAUUAAACUCACAAUUUGGAUGGGAGAUUUGGCGUUUCAGGGGAUUUUAAAUUAUGUAUUAACUCCCACCUGAGCACAUGGGACUCUGACAGCCUUUGAGGACAGAAGACUGUUUUAAUUCUCUUGGAUGAGGUGCAGGCUGCAGCACUGAUCUAUGCUUUAUUCAACCUAUCCAGCUUUCUCUAUUAUGGUGCUAAAUAACUGGAGUUUGCUUCAUUUUGCUUUUCUAAUUAGUGGUCUACUAAUUGUCUUCUGCCAUGGAACAACUCUAAAUGAAGUGUCAUAAAGAUACUGCGUUUGAUUAAAUGUUUAUUUUCAACUCAGCGGUUGAUUAAUACAGCUGUUUUGGACUUGGCUGCUUACAAGUUGGUCUAAUGCCAGCUGUUCUUUGAAACGGAGGCCAAAAUGACAUGAAGAAAUAAUAUGAAAAAUGUAGUUAUCGGUCAUUCUAAUGAAUGACAUUGAGACCUGAGGAUUUCUAAGAGUUGCAGAAAUACUCUUUCUGAGUUACAAGCUUCCCCCCCGAGGUCAAACUUAGUCCCCCAAGAGACAGUGCACAAGCUGUUGCUAAGAGCCGAAUGGCGGUGUUGAAGCUCAGGCUCCGGGUACAGCUUGUUGGCGUGUGUCAGGGUCUCCUUGUCACUGACCUUUUCUUUUCUAGCACCAGGCAGCUGCCAUCGAUCGCACCAUGUCCCGCUGUGUCUCCCUCUGCCUGGAGAGAAAAGGAGGGCAGUUGGGGUGGUGGGUGGCGGGAGAGACAGGUCUUUGUCACAGCAGGACCCGGGUGUUCGGGAAGGGUUGGCGGCGUGCUGGUUGGAGGAAAGGAAGCUGCUGCACGCAGGAGCCGGUAGGAGGCUGGAGAAGCUGUACUCCUGUAGCAAAGCUGAGAUGCAAGAUGGAUUUCCUGCUGUCCUGGUCCACAGCUGUCAGAAAUGUGACAAUGUGACUUUGCGGUAGAAAACAACUUUACUACUUUUCGCUUUUGUCAUACUCCUGCUUAAUCAAAUUGUGAGCAGAAAGUAUUGAGGCAAAGGGCUAUCUUCUAGGACAACACAAGGUAGCUGAGAAAAAUAUUAAAAAUAAUGUACCCAAAGCAAAGGUCUACAAAGUGUGCUGACUUUUAUUGUAGCUGAGCCCUUAGUUUUCUAAUAGUGGGGAGGUUUUAUGUCCAGGUACAUGAGUCAAACACCUUCGUUGGAGGCUUGGAACGUAAGUGGAGCAGUGUGGUUUACUAACGUCUCUUAUGUACUCUCAAGGUUGGAGGUCAAUUGCUAUUUUGAAAUGCAGGCGGUUUUUCAGAACGAAACAUCAGAGCCACUGUGGGGAAUAGCCUUGCAGGAACAACACUGAAUAAUCUGAAAAACAGAGCAGGCAGGGCUUUGACGACGUUGCCCAGAACAUUUUCAGCAUUUUUUCUGUUUUUUAGAGGGCUCAGUUGUUGUUUGUGGAUGAAGGGAUUACUUUGUUUGUGUCGUGUUGUACUGAUCUGACAGUACACCCUCCUACUCCAUUAACCUACAACAAUAUUUUAAAAACUCACUGCUGUCUCCAGCUGCGACCACCUACAGACAUUCCAGACGAUUGCAGGUGCCCUCCUGAAUAUUUCUUUGAUUAGGUCAACCAUUAUUGAUUAAGGGAUUAUUUAACCUCAAUCUGAAUCACAUGGUCACUCCAUGAACACGUCACCGACUUUCCCCUUUCUCCCUCAAACUCCAGUUGCAGAAGAAGUCCGCAAAUAAAACUCAGUACAGCCUGACUUUGAACAACCUGCUUCAAUCAAUGUGGAUUGAAUUAAAUAGGGUCUCUUUGUGGGUCCUCAUUCUCCAUUGUUGAGAAAUCCUAUUAGAUGGUGGGAGAAGGUGACUUCUCCUUUCAUCCAGAUGACACAUACAGACAUGCAGAGAGGAGCCCUGUCAUGUUGUUGGUGGGCGACAGAGGCAGAAAAGAAAAAAAUAUUGAUUGACCAAACCAGCCACACAUCCUUUCUGACACUGUUCCCCUCUCCUUCCUGGCAAACAAUGACCAGCUGUAGGUCUCUCCUUUGCCACGCCGCUCAUUUAAUGUCAUUAGAGUGUCUGACAGCCGGCAGGGGGCCAGCAAAGCUGGGCAAGUUCAGCGCCCAGCACUAUCACCAUCCUUCAUCCUCUUCCGUGCUCCUUGUACCCCUCACCGCCCCUCUGUCCAGCGAUUCAGAGUCCGUUUUGCAGUCACUUCUCAAAAGCGUUGAUAACACCUUGUCAAGCCAAAGCAAGGACCCGCCAACAACUGUCUCCUCCUGUCCCUUUCGUCAAGGUCAUCCACCUCCGCUGACAGCAGUGCUAACCGGAGAGCUAGGAAAAAAAACAUUUUAAAAAGAAACAAUUUCUCUGUAGAGCAGUAUCCCUUUUUCUACCAUUUUCAGGGAAAUGGUGUUGUCGAUGGUUACGCUAUUAAAAAUAAUUAUUCUAAAGAUUGAUUUUAUGUUCAUUUAGACCUGUAACCUAACCUAUAAGCAUCCCGAUUAAUUGUGAAAGCAUAAAGCCAUGACCGAGAGAUCCGAAUGCCAGCUCCUCCCUCUUUCCGAAAGCGCAGAAUGAAAUGUUGAUAACUUGUGUGCUUGAAUGAUUUGUUCAGAUCUCAAAAGGAAUAAGAGGUUCAAGAGGGUCAGUGCUCCACCCAGUAACUUCGGGGAAAAGGUAUUUCAUUGUAUUAAGAAUGCUUAAUGGUUUGACUGAUGCUGCCUUCUUUUUAUUUUAAAGUAAAAAAGAGCAUCUGAUAAAGAUGUCUGACAUGCCAGGGGAUGUUUGGAACAGGGUUUUUCAGAUGUACUGCAGUAAGAAUGCUAUCAAACUCUAAAUGAUUUCACUGUUUCUGUCUUGUUCUCAUUUCAAAGAGAAAAAAGCAGCUGUCACAGAUGUCAGAAACACCAAUAAACAUACACCGUUUAGACAUCUAGUUCUGCUUGGUGUGUCUGUGUAGUAUAUAAAGUAGUUUACAGCUGUGACAUACAAACUCUUCACAUACUUUGUUCUUCACACUGGGCACCUCUGACCACUGUUUAAUUUUCUUUUUUAGUUUGAAGUUCAUUCCAUUUCAAGCUCCUCUCAAUAAUUCCAUUUUACUUCCCAUCAGGACCAGUGCGAAUGGACAUUCCUGAGCCCCUGCUUCUGCUUCUCAGCUGAGACUGGUUUUCGACCAGCAGGGAUUUCCGGCAACAGGAAUGAAGAAAGGCCAACGGAGCGGCGAGAGCUACCGACAAGAUAAAGAAUAUCUUGAGGUCCCAUGAGGCUCGUGGCUGAUCUGUAGGAUCGUUCAGGCGUGUUUGCUCCCGUGCUGCAGACCCCUCUGGCUCAAAUAAAAUCCCACGUCCCAAGUGAGCGAAGAUGUCAAAACAGCAAAGCCAGUAAUUGCCUUCAGAGAGUCUGGAUGUUUCAGAUCCUAAGGAUGAACAAACCAGAAUAUCUACCGUGAAGUCUGUCGACAGGCUGGCACCCAGAAGUGUCCUGUGGAGCACCUUUUCGCUGCAGCGAUUCUGUGCCAAUUGUUAUAUCCCUCAGACUGAAGCCUCUUCUCCCAGGUACCCUUACUGUACAUUCCCAACCAUUUAAAAAAUAGUUUGC